CAGAACACAAGUAAACAGGCCAUAUUUGGGCAUUUGCGGAUGGUCGUGGCGAAGGAUUAAACCAGAGGUUCACGUUGGGUGCGUUUAUCCUGGAGUCUGCUCUGAGGCACAUCUGUGCGCGUGAACGGCCGACCUCAAGAAGAACUCAAGAACAUUUGAGAAUUCGAGGCUUCAAGGAGCGAAGCAUUUGACUGAGCCCCGGACAGAAGACGCUCAUCGUCACGAGGAGUGAACAAGUCACCACCAUGGCGGCGCUCUGGCUCCACACCACGGUCCUGCUGGUCCUGCUGGCCACGUGGUGCCCGGGCUCCCAAGGCUUCCCCGCCGAGACUCUGUGUGGGGGAGAGCUGGAGGACGCCCUUCAUUUCGUCUGUGGGACGACCUUUGAGACCUUUGAGCAGCGUUGAAACAGGAAGUGGCGGCCAGGGGCCGUGGAAGCGUGCUGCUAUAAGUCCUGCACCAUCUUCGACUUGGAGAGAUUCUGCCCCUGAACAUCUAGCUUCAACGUCAGCAGCAAGAAUCAGUUCACCAGCUGAAGUCUCGCUUGGAAGCCGACUAUUGUCCAGCUUCCUUAAAAAAUAAAGAGCUAUAGUUGAGAAUAGUCUUUUAAACGGGUGCGUUUUAACUAAUGAAUGUUAUAUUUCAGUAAUGAUUCCAUAACAGUGGUCUAUUGCGUUACGUGUUCUCUCUUGGUGAUGCAUGGAUCAUGGAGUUGAAGCCUUUAUUCCUGUGGCAUCCAGACACCCUCCAGGCUUGUGGCCCAUGCUCCUGUUACAUCAACACUUUUCUUGAGUGUUAAAGGGGUUUUGGCACAAUCCUCAUGUUCCUUGAACAGACUCGAACCAACUCUACCAAUGUUUGUGACGCUUAAUGGGCACAGGCCAUUUAAACAUUUGCAGAAUGAUGCUGUUACUUUCCCUGUUUCGUCUGGAUUCUGACUUAAACUGGCCCAGACUUCCAGCCUCACGUUCAUCGUGCACACGGCAUCAAAAAAGCAUAAUUCUCCAAACGAGCCACAGGACGUAUGCGUUUAGCAGAGAUCAGCACUUCCCCCUGCUGGCUGCCCUGCAGAUGUGCUGCACACAACGCGCCCGUUCAAGCCUCCAGAUUUUACCCACAGGAUGUAAAGCGGAGCUCGCUCUGAAUCUCUGUGGCGUCAUAAAGAAUUCACCUUAAAUGCAAAUCCACAACUCUGCUCUAAAUAACCAAAUGCUUGUUACAGUACAUCACAAUGUUCCACUGUUCCCACUGAAGCACAUCCUGCUGAUAAUGUGCAGUGUAUUAGAUUAAAAGCAAGACUUCAUGAUUAUAGCAAUUACACGGUUCCAUAUGGCAAUUACAGUUUAGUGCAAUGGCGAUAAUAAUAAAGCAUAUUCAUUAGGGAUU